rnacentral:rRNA from 1 species
UACGGAGGGAGCUAGCGUUGUUCGGAAUUACUGGGCGUAAAGCGCGCGUAGGCGGCUUUGUAAGUUAGAGGUGAAAGCCCGGGGCUCAACCCCGGAACUGCCUUUAAAACUGCAUCGCUUGAAUCCGGGAGAGGUGAGUGGAAUUCCGGUGUAGCGGUGAAAUGCGUAGAUAUCGGAAGGAACACCAGUGGCGAAAGCGGCUUCCUGGUCCAGCACCGACGUCAGGCACGAAAGCGUGGGGAGCAAACAGG